AAGAGUCUUUGGUAGAGGAAACUGCUGAGAUCUUGCAGCUGUUUGCCAUCCUAGAAGAGUGUAGUUAUGCUGAUAGAUUCAGGGGACCUUGGGACUUUUGGCCUUAAAGAUUUGGGUCCCUAGAGUUCGCAGCUGAGAGGAGUGCAUGGCAGAGUCUCCUUUGGUGCGCUGUUGUGCUAGCCAUGGGACCCGUGUGCAGAGGAUUUACAAUGAAGCAGUGGUCGGGUGGGUCCCACCUUCCCACACCCCUGGGUUGCUGGGAUUGGGGGAGUGGUGAGCAUUGGAAGGAGGUACUCAGAGGGGAGAGGGCUUCAGCCUAUAAUCUGAUAUCUAGGUAGACAUUUGCCCUAUUGUGAAAUAAAUGAAGUAAGGAUUUCUAGGAUCUUUUAUAUGAAAUAAAAUUAGGCCCAGAUGGUUUCACUGGUCAAAUUUUCUAAAUGUUUAGGAGAGAAACAAUAACAAUGCUAUACAAAGUUUUCCAGAUGAUAGAAAAAAGGGAACACUUUCUAUUAUGAGGCAUCUACCCUGAAUAUCAAAAUCUGACAAGGAAAAGACAGGAGAAUCACAAGAUGCUUAAUUCCCUAAUAAGAUAUUAGCAAACCAAAUCAACUGGUGUAUAAAAAGGAUAGAACAUCAUGUUCAGAUGUGGUUUAUUCUAGGGAUUCAGAGUGGUUUAACUUUUGAGAGUCGAUGUAAUUCUUUAGAUUACUAGAACAAAAGGGGGAAAUCGUAUGCUCAUCUUGAUAGAUGAAGAAAAAAAUUGGACAAAAUUCAGCACUCCUUCAUGAUAAAAACUCCCAGCAAACUAGGAACAGAAAGGAACUUUCAUAAUCCAAUAAAGAAUAUUUACAAAAAACCCACAGCAGCAAACAUGAUACUCAAUGGCGAAACAUUGAAAACUCUAGGGAAAGCUGAGGCUUUAAACAAACAGGUUUAAAUGGAGUCCCCAGAAAAGCAUGUGUACUUGUGACACAUGGGUACGUAUGCACACAUAUGAAUGUUUCGGCUUCAUAAAUGCAGUGAUAGUUUUCUUUCCAAAAAGACCCUGAAGACCAAGCCUUUGCUCGCUUCUGUGUUGAUUGAAACACUGUUUGAAAUGUUGAAAUCUAAGGAAACUUUGGCUAAACUCACAAAAACAAAACCAAACAGGCCAAAAAGAAAUCAGAUAUCUGAUCAGGACUCCAUAUUGUGAAGGUUUUUGUGGUCACACAAAUAGUGCAUUAGAAUGAGUUCUCUCUGUGAAGUCUGAUCUUUGAAACUUUAGUGGUGCCUUUGGUUCCUGAGCUCUCUUGAAUAAUGAAGAGGGUCUAUAGAGCGUACAUUUCAUGUGGGCCAGUGGUUCUCAACCUCGAGAAAUGUCUGGACAAAUCUCUUUCAAAGAAAAAAAUUUCUGACAGAAUCCCCCAGUGUUUAAAUAAAUUGUCAUUGUUGUAGUACUUCAGUAUGUACAGUCCCUAAAGCUAUGCAUAAACUCCCUUUACUUUAAUUUAUAAUUUUAUAAUUUAUAGUUUAUAUAAUUAUAUAAUUUAUAUAUUUAAUGAUCACCAUUCUAACUGGUGUGAGAUGGUAUCUCAUUGUGGUUUUGAUUUGCAUUUCUCUGAUGGCCAGUGAUGAUGAGCAUUUUUUCAUGUGUUUUUUGGCUGCAUAAAUGUCUUCUUUUGAGAAGUGUCUGUUCAUAUCCUUCACCCACUUUUUGAUGGGGUUGUUUUUUUCUUGUAAAUUUGUUUGAGUUCAUCGUAGAUUCUGGAUAUUAGCCCUUUGUCAGAUGAGUAGGUUGCAAAAAUUUUCUCCCAUUCUGUAGGUUGCCUGUUCACUCUGAUGGUAGUUUCUUUUGCUGUGCAGAAGCUCUUUAGUUUAAUUAGAUCCCAUUUGUCAAUUUUGGCUUUUGUUGCCAUUGCUUUUGGUGUUUUGGACAUGAAGUCCUUGCCCAUGCAUUAAAAAGUCAGGAAACAACAGGUGCUGGAGAGGAUGUGGAGAAAUAGGAACACUUUUACACUGUUGGUGGGACUGUAAACUAGUUCAACCAUUGUGGAAGUCAGUGUGGAGAUUCCUCAGGGAUCUAGAACUAGAAAUACCAUUUGACCCAGCCAUCCCAUUACUGGGUAUGUACUCAAAGGAUUAUAAAUCAUGCUGCUAUAAAGACACAUGCACACGUAUGUUUAUUGCGGCACUACUCACAAUAGCAAAGACUUGGAACCAACCCAAAUGUCCAACAAUGAUAGACUGGAUUAAGAAAAUGUGGCACAUAUACACCAUGGAAUACCAUGCAGCCAUAAAAAAUGAUGAGUUCAUGUCCUUUGUAGGGACAUGGAUGAAGCUGGAAACCAUCAUUCUCAGCAAACUAUCCCAAGGACAAAAAACCAAACACGGCAUGUUCUCACUCAUAGGUGGGAAUUGAACAAUGAGGACACAUGGACACAGGAAGGGGAACAUCACGCACCGGGGCCUGUCGUGGGGUGGGGGGAGUGGGGAGGGAUAGCAUUAGGAGAUAUAGCUAAUGCUAAAUGACGAGUUAAUGGGUGCAGCACACCAACAUGGCACGUGUAUACAUAUGUAACAAACCUGCACGUUGUGCACAUGUACCCUAAAACUUAAAGUAUAAAAAAAAAAAGUGGUAAUGGGAAGGAGGGACUUUUACUGUAAAAAAAAUUAUAUAUUUAAAUUUAUAAAUUUAAAAAUUCUGCAAGUACAUAGACUCUAUACCAAAACCACUGCUCUUAACGUGAAUCUGGAAUGGACUGUUAAGGUUCAGUUUCUUUUCUAUUUUUAAUUCAAGAUGACCAUUUUAAUAUCUUCUGCAAAAUGAUGCUAUUAUUCUGCCAUUUCUCUCUAUUCAAACCACCAGCAAGCUUUCCUGUAACCCUCUGAUAGGUCAUCUGGCCAGCGGCUGGCUCGAGGUAUCAUUAGGUCCAGGGUGGGCAAGCUGUAGCUUGUGGGCCAAACUCAGCCUACUACCGGUUUUUGUAAAUAAAGCUUUAUCAGAAGACAGCCAUGUCUACUUAUUCAUAUUUAGUCUAUGGCUGCUUUCACACCACAUCAGCCAUCAGGUAAAUGUGACAAAAGCCAAAAAGCCUGCAAAGUCUAAAGUAUUUACUAUCUGGCCCUUUACAGAAAAAGCUUACUGACCCCUGAUUGACAGGAUAAGCUCUAUUCUUUUAUUAGCUCAUUGCAAUUAAGGUAGUACUUUUUGACACUAAUACCCUCAUAAAGCCCAAUGCAGAAGCAAGCAUUGAUUAUAUCAAGGGACAGUACUUGGUAAUGGGGUAGGCAUUCAGAUAACUCAGGAUCGAUUUACUGAUUAUAAAUUAUGUUUCUGGAGCAACUUAGACCACUUCACACUACUAGAUGCUAAGUAUUUAGCACUGACAUAAAGUUAGAGGUGCUAUGGUGUGAAAAUGUCCCCUCCAAAAUAAAGGUGUUGCCAAUGUGAUAGUAUAAAGAGGUGGGACAUUUAAGAGGUGAUCAGGCCAUGAAGGGUCCUCUUUCAUGAAUGGGAUUAGGCACCCUUGUAAAAGGGCUUGAUGGAGGGAGUCUGUGUCUUUUUGUUCCUUCUGCCUUCAGCUAUGUGAAGAUGCAGCAGGUAGGCCCUCACCACAUGCUGGCACCUGGAUCUUGGACUUCCCAGCCUCUGGAACUGUGACAAAUAAAUUUCUGUUCUUCAUAAAUUAUCUAGUCUCAGGUAUUUUGUUGUAGCUGCACAAAGCAGAUUAAGACAAAAGGGAAUAAUUGCUGGGGGACAGUUGUGAAUGGAAAAACACACUUACUCCCCUCACAUAAGCUUAGCAGGAUGGAUGGCUUUACUUAAGUGAGGUGAGAUGCGGCAGACAUCAUGGGAUCCCACAAUAGGGGAAGUCGGGAACAGAAGAAGCACCUGGGAAGAAAUCAUGUUUGAGCUGAGACUUUGCGUAUGUGUAGGAGUUAGAUAAGCCAAGAGGAUAGGAGGAAACUUCCAGGCAGGAUACAGAGCAUGUGCCCAGGUACAUUCUUAAAACUUUUGAGGAAUGGAAAAAUGAAGAUGUCUAUGGAUACAUUGGCCGCAUACAUCUGAGUGAUUUGCACACUCUGACUUUCAGCUAUUUAUGUUUUUGGCCUGGGUUCCAUGUUAGAAUGUCGAGAUAGCAUCUCUGGGAUAGUUCGUUGCUGGACAUUUAUUGACAUUAAAUUCCAUGUUUUCUUAGUACAGGAGAAGAAGUUUCGCUUUCCUACCCACCUUGUUCCUACACAGUCUCAAAAGUAAAAGCAGACAGACCAGUCUGUAUUUGCCAAACUCUUUCAUGCUCUGAGCUUGUAAUAUAUUGGCCUAUUUCUCCUUUUCCCCAAAGAAGGAAACUUAGCUCUCAUAUUUCUUUUUAUGGUGAGACAAAGUCAUACAUAUAUAUUUCACAGGAGUUAAAAAAAUACCUAAUUUCAAGUCUCAGAAUAUUCUUUAAUGAUACUUUCUCCUCUUUCCUCAUCUAGACCAAUUAGAUACAAAUGCCCUCAGUGGAGUAUGGAAAGAAUAUCUUAUUCUGCAAAGGGUUUAUUUUAGAAGGAAUGUAUUAAGAGUGAGGUCUGUUGGGUUAAACCUGCUUAAUGGCUGUGUGCAUCCUUGCUCAUGACAAACCAAGCACAGUCUCUUUCCUGGAGCUGGCACAAGAAAGUGCUGGGAGGUGGGUGUUUGCAAACCAGUUCACGUGAAAUUACCUAAUUUAAUGAAGUCUGUGUUAAAGCAUGGCUCCCCAUGUCCCCAUGGUAAGACAGUCCUGAACCAGCUGGCUCUCUGUCCUGUGUGCGCUGGUAUCCUUGAUGGGAGCCUGUGGAAACUGGGUGCAGAGAGCAUGAUUUCAAUUCCUGGCCUGGUUCCAUGCAACCUGCUAAGGUCCUCUGGACAAGUCAUUUUAUACAUUUGGGCCUGAGGUAUUUGCACCAGAUGAUCACUAAAGUCCCUUCUGGCUGUAGCAUUCUGUGAAUGAAUCUAUUGAAUUUGUUGAAAAUCCCUAGACAGAUGGAAAUGGAGGUUGAAAGUUUAUUUAGUACAGCAUUUUAUGGGGGAAAUCAGCACAACUGCAAGCCCUCCUCGCACUGCUUGCUGCUGCCAUUUAAGCUAGUCACCUGUUUAACAAUAGUAAUAAUUUGAUUUGAUCUCAAGGACAAUUGAGAUUGAAGGAAGGUUGUGAAUUUGAGUGCAGUGUCUAAAGGAUGACAUCCAUGUUUGUGCCUCCUCCCCCCUCAAAGCUCUUGUCUGAAACACCACUGUUCCAGAACACCUGGGGCUUCUUUACCUGAGUAUUAUGCUAUUCUCAUUAAGCACAAGAACAUGCAACAAUUACGUAGAAGUGUGCGUGUGGGGAAAAUUGAACACAUUUCACAAGGGAAUGGUGAGGGAGUGGGUAUACAAAGCCGGCUUUGAACCUGCAAACCCGGGCCAGCCAACAUGUCACAGGUGAGAGCGUGUUAGUGAGAGGGUGAUGACAGUUCUGGGACCGUUAAUUCAUGGAUCCUCAGAUACACUCGGGCAAUUGUUCUGGGUUUCCGGGAGGUGCGAGGGCGUUCCUCCUCCAGGGCGCGUGCAGGCCACGCUGAGCAGCCCUGCUGAACGUCUCCCGGUGUGCCGUCUCUCUGUUUCUCUGUUCCCCUUUCCGUCUUCUCUCUUAUGUUCCUACUUGUCCUUUCUUCUUGACUUCCU
rnacentral:lncRNA from 1 species